UAUGAAGUGGCGAUGUUAGUGGAUGUUUAUAGGCAACAGAGGCCGUAGGCAAAGAAGGGGAGAGGAUGUGAUCCAUCCCCUAGGUUUCUUUGGAAGGUUAAGCAAAUGGAGGAAAUGCUGAUAUUAAGAACAGGUCAAUUUUAAGGGGAUAAUUUUAGCAUUAUUGUUUACGUUUGCUCUUUGAAGGAAAUUGGCCAAACCCCGGCAGUUGCACAAUUCACAGUGGGGAAUGAUGUGUCCUGCUGAGACACUUGAAGGGCAGGAAAGUAUUGUACUUUAAAAUUUCUGAAUGUGAAAGGAUUUGUUUUUGUAUGUGACACUUAAAUCU